GACGAACGCUGGCGGCGUGCUUAACACAUGCAAGUCGAACGGAUGGCUACCGCUUGCGGUGGUUGUUAGUGGCGAACGGGUGAGUAACACGUGAGUAAUCUGCCUUGGACUUUGGGAUAAGCACUCGAAGGGGUGUCUAAUACUGAUUAUUCUGUAUGGGUCGCAUGGCCUGUGUGGGAAAGGUUUUUCUGGUUUGAGAUGAGCUCGCGGCUUAUCAGCUGGUUGGUGGGGUAAUGGCUUACCGAGGCUUUGACGGGUAACCGGCCUGAGAGGGUGACCGGUCACAUUGGGACUGAGAUACGGCCCAGACUCCUACGGGAGGCAGCAGUGGGGAAUAUUGCACAAUGGACGAAAGUCUGAUGCAGCGACGCCGCGUGAGGGAUGAAGGCCUUCGGGUUGUAAACCUUUUUCGCCCUUGAACAAGCAGCAUUUUGGUGUUGUGAGGGUAUGGGGUAAAGAAGCACCGGCUAACUACGUGCCAGCCGCCGCAGUAAUAC
rnacentral:rRNA from 1 species